AUUGAACGCUGGCGGCAUGCUUUACACAUGCAAGUCGAACGGUAACAGGGUGCUUGCACCGCUGACGAGUGGCGAACGGGUGAGUAAUGCGUCGGAACGCACCGAGUAAUGGGGGAUGACGCAGCGAAAGUUGUGCUAAUACCGCAUACGCUCUGAGGAGGACAGCGGGGGACCGUCGGGCCUCGCGUUAUUCGAGCGGCCGACGACUGAUUAGCUAGUAGGUGAGGUAAGAGCUCACCUAGGCGACGAUCAGUAGCGGGUCUGAGAGGAUGAUCCGCCACACUGGGACUGGGACACGCCCCAGACUCCUACGGGAGGCAGCAGUGGUGAAUUUUGGACAAUGGGCGCAAGCCUGAUCCAGCCAUGCCGCGUGUCUGAAGAAGGCCUUCGGGUUGUAAAGGACUUUUGUCAGGGAGGAAAUCCCUAAGGUUAAUACCCUUGGGGGAUGACAGUACCUGAAGAAUAAGCACCGGCUAACUACGUGCCAGCCGCCGCCGUAA
rnacentral:rRNA from 1 species